rnacentral:rRNA from 1 species
GGUGAACGCUGGCGGCAGGCCUAACACAUGCAAGUCGAACGGCAGCACGGCAGUAGCAAUACUGUGGGUGGCGAGUGGCGGACGGGUGAGGAAUACAUCGGGAUCUACCCUGUUGUGGGGGAUAACGUAGGGAAACUUACGCUAAUACCGCAUAAGAACUGAGGUUGAAAGCGGCGGACCGCAAGGCGUCGCGCGAUUGGAUGAACCGAUGUCCGAUUAGCUAGUUGGCGGGGUAAAGGCCCACCAAGGCGACGGUCGGUAGCUGGUCUGAGAGGACGACCAGCCACACUGGAACUGAGACACGGUCCAGACUCCUACGGGAGGCAGCAGUGGGGAAUAUUGGACAAUGGGCGCAAGCCUGAUCCGGCCAUGCCGCGUGGGUGAAGAAGGCCUUCGGUUGUAAGACCUUUGUCCGGUAAGAAAAGACGAUUCGUUAUACCCGGUGUUCGUGACGGUACCGGAAGGAAUAAGAC